UAAACCUUAGUGGGAGAGUUGCCACCGGAUCCCAUAAGAACUCCGGAGUUAAGCGUGCUCGGGUGGGAGCAGUCCUUGGAUGGGUGACCUCCUUGGGAAGUCCCCGGGUACGUUGCA